AACGCGAAGAACCUUACCUGGGCUCGAAGCGCAGUGGACCGGGGUAGAAAUAUCCCUUCCCCUUAAAAGGCUGCUGCGGAGGUGCUGCAUGGCUGUCGUCAGCUCGUGUCGUGAGAUGUUGGGUUAAGUCCCGCAACGAGCGCAACCCUUAUCCCUAGUUGCCAUCGGGUCAAGCCGGGCACUCUAGUGAAACUGCCUCGGAUAACGAGGAGGAAGGUGGGGAUGACGUCAAGUCCUCAUGGCCUUUAUGUCCAGGGCUACACACGUGUUACAAUGCGCGCCACAAAGCGUUGCAAACCCGCGAGGGGGAGCUAAUCGCAAAAAAGCGCGCUCAGUUCGGAUUGCAGUCUGCAACUCGACUGCAUGAAGCCGGAAUCGCUAGUAAUGGCGCAUCAGAACGGCGCCGUGAAUACGUUCCCGGGCCUUGUACACACCGGAGUA
rnacentral:rRNA from 1 species